ACACAUUCGAGGUGGUAAUAUGAUACUUUUAAACCGGAACCUGCAUCUGAUAUCCUGGAAUUUGUUUCUCUACUUCCUGUAUUUCUCCUAUCAUGAAUGACUGCUCUGACAAAGAAUAUGUCAUGGGACACACCUUCAGCUAACUUUGCUUUUUCAUGCUUGUUUUCAAUUCACUAGAAGAAAAUCUAACUUGUCAGGAAGCAAGUACAUAAUAGGAAGUGUCUGUCUUAGUUUGUCUUCAACAGUUAAGAAAAUGAAUGUUUCCACUCUUACUACAUUCUUAGUCACCUGUCCACUGACCAAGAGCCUUGUGGCCCUGAGUAAUCAUUUAGAACUUGGAAUCAGCAGGGGCGCUCUCUCUAGUUGCAGUUUAGGGAAUGGGUUAUUAGCUUUCUAGGAUAUUUAUCAUGCUUUGAAAUAAUUUAAUGAAUUUUAUUCCAUAAGAUCCAAUUCAGGUUAGGCUUGUUUGAUUUUUUUUUUCAGAAAAUGUAUUCCAUAAAGUUUGUACUUAGACCAGACGGGUGUACUAAGAAUCAUUCAUGAGUAAAUGUGUGUUGAAUAUCUACCCUUGACCUUUUUUUGAGAAAUAGAGUAAACACAGUCCCUGUAGUCUGACAGCUAAUGGGGAGAGAGGGUAGACUUUUCAUCGAAUUAAAUUUCUACAUGCACCUUUCCCCCAGAAAUCUUACUCAUGGCUGGUCUCAAGUAAGUCUUUAUUGAAAAAUAUUGACAUAUCUUCUUCCUCUUCCUUCUCCUCACUGUCUUCCUUUUAGUAGUUAGGCAGAGUUAAUAGGUAAGAAAAAUUAUCUGCAUUUAUGUGUAGUUUGUAAUCUACUAAAGGGGUUCUAGAAUAAAUGUUGACAUUUUGUAACUUACAUUGUUGUUGCUACUGAUUAAACACAUAACCCAAGUGUGGAUGAACUCUAGCAUUACAAAGCUUAAGCACCUCAGGCUCCUAUGAUGUUGUAAUGGACUCUUUUUACAAUUAGAGUAGGGUGGGGUAACAGAGGGUCUCAAAGAAAAUGCAUAUUUAAAUUUCAGGCUUCUCAGAUAACCUCUGGAGCCCUACUGUCUGGAAACAGCCAGUUUCCAUGCUGUUACAAUAAUUUGGCAAUGGCAAUUGGUUAAUCUCCAGUUUCUUUGCCACCUGAAAUUUUGAGUUGUUCAGCCAGUAGAUAUUGGAUUAAAUAGAACAACUUUGUUAAGCUGGUUUAAUAAUGAUUAUGAAAAACCAAAUAGAGAAAAGGUGAAAAUAAGGCAGAAUUGAGGAGCAUGACCUUUGGCAUAUCAUCAGAGUAAUAGCAGUAAAAAGGAUUAAAAUAUUUCUAAUUUAAGAAUAAUGGCAAUAAUAAUAGUGAUGUUGAUGGCAAAAGUGGCUUGUCAGAACUUUAAACUCUUAGCCAGGCUUGGUGGCACAUGCCUGUAAUCCUAGCUACAAGUAAGACUGAGAUGAGAGGAUCCCCUGAGGGAAGGAGUCUGAGGCCAGCCUGGGCAACAUAGCAAGACCCUGUCUU
rnacentral:lncRNA from 1 species